CCUACGGGAGGCAGCAGUGAGGAAUAUUGGUCAAUGGACGCAAGUCUGAACCAGCCAUGCCGCGUGCAGGAAGACGGCUCUAUGAGUUGUAAACUGCUUUUGUACGAGGGUAAACGCAGAUACGCGUAUCUGUCUGAAAGUAUCGUACGAAUAAGGAUCGGCUAACUCCGUGCCAGCAGCCGCGGUAAUACGGAGGAUUCAAGCGUUAUCCGGAUUUAUUGGGUUUAAAGGGUGCGUAGGCGGUCGGAUAAGUUAGCGGUGAAAUCCCGAGGCUCAACUUCGGAAUUGCCUCUGAUACUGUACGGCUAGAGAGUAGUUGCGGUAGGCGGAAUGUAUGGUGUAGCGGUGAAAUGCUUAGAGAUCAUACAGAACACCGAUUGCGAAGGCAGCUUACCAAGCUACGUCUGACGUUGAGGCACGAAAGCGUGGGGAGCAAACAGGAUUAGAUACCCCUGUAGUC
rnacentral:rRNA from 1 species